GAUGAAGAACUUAGCGAAAUGCGAAAAGUAAUGUGAAUUGCAGAAUUCAGUGAAUCAUCGAAUCUUUGAACGCACAUUGCGCCCGCCAGUAUUCUGGCGGGCAUGCCUGUCUGAGCGUCAUUUCAACCCUCAUGCCCCUAGGGCGUGGUGUUGGGGAUCGGCCAAAGCCCGCGAGGGACGGCCGGCCCCUAAAUCUAGUGGCGGACCCGUCGUGGCCUCCUCUGCGAAGUAGUGAUAUUCCGCAUCGGAGAGCGACGAGCCCCUGCCGUUAAACCCCCAACUUUCCAAGGUUGACCUCAGAUCAGGUAGGAAUACCCGCUGAACUUAAGCAUAUCAAUAAGCGGAGGA
rnacentral:misc_RNA from 1 species